rnacentral:lncRNA from 1 species
CAACUAUUUUUGACAAAAAUUUUAAAUACCACAGGCUAUAUGUUCUAGUUAACUUACACAAUGACGCUCAAAACGUGUACAAAAUAAAUAACGCACUGGGAUCUCUGACAUAUUUAUUGAAAUUAGCUACAAAUCCUACUAUGCAUAAAAUUCCAGAAUUUUCUAAUUGUUGCUCUUGUUUCUCUCUCUAAUUUGGCAAGACUUUUACAUAAGACUUAUAAAAAAUGAACAUCAUUUCCACCCGGUUCAAACCAUUCUGGUUUUGUCCCUUUUUGUUUGAUGGAUAAAAAUUACUUCGGGAUUUGAUGGCAGCCAACUUACAGCAACUGCAAACAAAGGUUGUCCAAGCCUCACAAUUUGUGGUCAAGAAUGGAACUUCCUACUACAAGCAGUUGUUGGAGCAGAGCAAACAAUACAUUCAGGAGCCAUUUACUGCGGAGAAAUGCAAUGAAUUGGCCAAGCAGUUGUUUUACACUCGUCUUGCGAGGUUGAUUUGUUUAUAUUCUUAAUGAGUACUCUUUAGUUUUGAUUCUCUUUCUUGUGUGAAUUACAUGCUUGGAUUCAGAAUUUAAUUUCUUGUCUCUUAUUUUAUACAAUCGUUCCGACAAACUAUCUGGUUCACUGAAUACCUGGAACUGAUUUCCCAUCCUGCGGUUUAAGUUAGCUACUAGUAGUUUUGGACUCGCUACAAAAAAAUGCGGUUUCAGAGAUGGAAAUUUCCAUCGCUGAUGCCUUAAAUUCCGUCGCUAACGACUUUUACAAACGGAAUUGAUCGGUUGGAAAAUCCGUCAGUAAUACCCCCACAGCGAGUUUUAGCACCAAAUUACCUAAGCCGUCGGUGAUUUAGAGAUGGAAGAAGCCGUCAGUGUUUACCAAUGGCUAUUUUCGUCACUAAUUUGCAACAAAAUUUCCCGUCGCAUAUUACCUACAGAUUCUGUCCGUUGAUGAUUACCUACGGAUUUUCGUCGCUAUUUUUGUUACUAAUUUGAAUUAAAUUAUUAGAAAAAAAUGUGUGAUUUUAUUUUAAUAAUUAUUUUCUCGAAACAGUCCAUAAGACACCAGAUAGUCGAGCAAUUCACUCAUUCUGUAUCAGAUUCUUGAAAUUUUACAGAUCUAGGUUCAUACUCACGAGAUGUAUAAUUUACAAUGGAUUUAAAAAUCAUUUCUCACCUACAGGCUUCAGCAAAAGUUUUACCUGAACUUCUUGCUUGCAAUUUAAAACUACUUCAUUGAUGCAAUAAGGGUGGAUUUGAAGGGAGCACAUCUCGAGCUGUUGGAAAAUGUCAUAUAAAAACGCGAAUCACCAAUUUGUAUUCAUGCCCGUCUUCAAAACAUAUCUCAAUUUGGAAUAUAUCAUUAAUGUUGCCAUUGUUUCAGAUGAUUUCAUUUCUUCGAAAUGCAUUGCAUUAAUUUCAUAAUAGACUGCUGGAAAAUAGUAAUCCAUUGAACUUUGACCUGGCAUGUGCAAUUAAACAGUGACCAAAAGAAAGCUAGGAAGAGAGAGAGAGAUUGAUCAUAGAAGGGGCCAGAACAAAGCCUCAGCUUCCAAAUUGAGAUCAAUUCCCCUAUGUGAUGUUGAGUGUGUGCCCAAGGAAAAGAGAAAUCAGAUUCCUAAAUGGGUGGAUUUUCUCAACAUCUGAACAGGGUGAAAUGGGGUGGGCGGUGGGGUGAGAGGGAGGGUAUAGAAGGGGAAGAAGAACUGGAAUUAGCCAUGGAUUUCAUUAUGUAACUAGCUUGGAGUUGUAAAGUUGUUGGCUUUACAUUUGUGUCUUUGAGAUAUAAAUGUACAAGAAAACGGUUGAAUUAAAUUUUUAAUCUGAAGGGUUUGGGAGGAAAUGAAAUAUUUGAAUGGGAAUUGGAUGGAGGGAAAUGAAAAUUUUAGAGGCAAGUCAAAUUUUAGAUGGGAAUUGAAGCUUUUUGAAUUUUCCGAUGGAAUUUUUCAUUGGUAACUAUAUAAUGGUUCUAAAAAUUUAAUUUCAAUGUUUACCAACAAAUUUUUUCUGUUGGUAAUUUAUUUUACC